GACGUAGGGCGCGAGCGUUGUCCGGAUUUAUUGGGCGUAAAGAGCUCGUAGGCGGCUUGUCGCGUCGUCUGUGAAAACCCGCGGCUCAACGGCGGGCUUGCAGCCGAUACGGGCAGACUAGAGUUCGGCAGGGGAGACUGGAAUUCCUGGUGUAGCGGUGAAAUGCGUAGAUAUCUGGAGGAACACCGGUGGCGAAGGCGGCGUCCUGGACCAACACUGACACUGAUGAGCGAAAGCCAGGGGAGCAAACGGG
rnacentral:rRNA from 1 species